UCCGAGUUGACCCCGGCAGUCUCCCAUGAGUCCCCGGCAUAACCCGCUGGCAACAUGGAACGAGGGUUGCGCUCGUUGCGGGACUUAACCCAACAUCUCACGACACGAGCUGACGACAGCCAUGCACCACCUGCACACCAGCCACAAGGGAACGCCUAUCUCUAGACGCGUCUAGUGCAUGUCAAACCCAGGUAAGGUGGGGAUGACGUAAGAGAGUACGUCC
rnacentral:misc_RNA from 1 species